CCUUGAGCGAUCCGCCCGCCCCUCAGCCUCCCAGAGUGUUAGGAUUAGGGGCGUGAGCCACCAUGCCUGGAAAUUUAGGUCUCUUUCUGCCUCUCAUUGUUCUCUGGCCUGCCCCGCUACUCCCUCAUGCCCCUAGCUAUGUCCUGCUGGAGUUGGGGACUGGUGGGGAGAAGGGCUGGGACUCCCCUGAGUCUAUCAGGCUGAGUGGUGGGAGGGGAAAGGAGCCUCCAGUCCUGAUUUACCUCCCUGGACUGUUUCUGGUCUGCGGACCCCCUGCUGAGGCCCAGGAGAACAAUCCCAGCACCUUUCCUCCCUUGUCUUCUGGCUCCCUGGGGUCCAGGGAGGGAUCAGAGAAGACAGGAAUAAAGGAGUGUGGGGGAGAGGACAUAGGGGUCAGGGCAGAGCAGAGGACACAUCUGGAUAGAAUCGAAUCAUAGAAUCAUUCAUUCAUUUAGUGAGUCCAACAGGUUCCUGUGCUGGGUGCCGAGGGAGGGAAAUGCGUGUAAGACAUGGGCCUGCUUUUGAAGGAGGUGCCUGGGUGCUGGCUUGAGGGCCCUAGACUUAGAAUCCAGGCCCCUGUUGUGAGCCUGACUACCACGUGCUGGGCAAGUUACUUCCUCAUCUGUAAAUAAGGAUAGUAAUACUGAAUUCCCAAGGUCAUUGUGAAGAUUAAAUGGGACAAAUACGGAAGAAGGCCUCAUUAAUAGUUGAUGUUCAUUGCAUGUAAAAUGACUGUGGAUCAGGUUUACAAUAAGGGAGGGGGAGAUAGGACAUGCCCACAGGCAAGUGGAACCCAGCCCUAGGGUGUAACAAAGGCCUGUUCUUGGGGUCUCUGUGGGAGCGGCCACUUCCGGCAGAGGUGACUAGGACAGGCUUUGUGGAGAGGUGCCUGGUGCGUGAUUUCAUUCAGUAAAUGUUUGCGGAAUGAAUGGGGUGUGCUGAAGCCAGGCCUGCAGGCAGGGUCCUGUCCCCCAAGACUGAGGCUGAUUCAACUGCAGUUGUUAAAGCUAAAGAGCCUUUGUGCAGAUCAAUCAUCUUAGUCCAUCAGCCCCCACAUCCGUGGAGACGCCCUUUGCCCCCACCUCAUUUCUGGAUGGAUCACACACCCUGGAGUGACUCAGUGCUUAGUAGAGGAGAAGAAGCUGUUAUGCAGACUACAGAGGAGAGCUGGGCACCUGCUUCACCCCCGAGGCCUUUCACGGAGGAGAGGAGACUAAAGACAGAAGGAAGGGUGAAUUCUUGGAGAAGAGUGCAUCGUCUUCCAUCACAGCAGAGUCUUGUCCAAACAGAGGUCUUUCACAAACUUUAUCAUCAUAUAAUCUGUUUUACAUAUAACAGAACAAAGCCUGAGACCCCAAAUUGAGUAUGAGCUUGAGUUUAAAGCUUUCCCCACUAUGUUGCAAUCACUUUGGGCAAUCCAAAGUUCUAAAAACAAAAUUAAUUUAAAUGUGAUUAACAAAAAUGAUUUCCAUAAUUUCCCCCCAAAAUUAAUAAUGAAAAAUAAUUUUAGGCAUAAAUGGUCCUGCCUCUUCACUAUACGGAAGAGGCAACUGUAGCUCAGAGAGAAGUGACUUGUCUGUUGUCACACAGCAAUUUAGAGACUGAAUUGAGACUAGAACACAGGUUAUUUGAUUACCAAAUUUAGGUUUUCCUGCUACUCCCACAUUGUUCUAGGAAUUGUUUAAAACAAUUCUCAAAAUGAAAAUGCACCUUAAUUUCAUUUAAUUUUAGUCUUGAAUCUUAGAAUAUUUUGAUUUUAAUCACAAAUCCUGGAGCACUUUGAAAGUGGUGGAAGGCGUUUGCAGGAGCGUGAGGACGGAGGGUGUGCCAGCUCACAGACAGAGCAGAGCGGGAAGGGUGCAGAGCUGCAGCCUGGCUCCUGAGCCAAACUGUCCUGGCCUCCUGAGCCUCCCCAGAUCAGUGGGGAAGCUUCCACAGGCCUCCUGGAAGGCAUCGGCCUUUAAAAGGAGUCAAAGCUUGCAUACUGGCUAGAGAAUCUGCCUUCCUGUCUCCUGCAUUUCUCAGCCUGUUUCUAGCUAGACCCAGGGGAGUGAGAAACUUAAUUCUGGAUUUUGGAGCCAGAAAAGCUGGGUUGAAUUCUGACCCUGGCACUUAUGCACUAUAUGACCUUAGGAAAUGUACAGAAAGUUUCUGAGCUUUCAUGUCCUCCUCUGUAAAAUGAGGCUAUUUGUACUUUCGUUACAGGUUUAAUUGUAAGGAUUAAAUGGGGUAAUAAAAACCUAUGGUGCAGGGAGUGCCUGGCAUAUGGUGCUGUUGCCAAGUGACUGGGAGACAAGGAGGUGUAAGAUUGGGAGGGCAGACCUGGCUUUGCAGGCAGACAGGGUCCAGUUCUGGCUCUCCCAUUUGCAACUACUUACUGUAGCACAAGCUUUUAACCCUAAGGCUCAGUUUCCUCAGCUCUUAAAUGAAAACAACACUUACUUCAUAGUUUCCCUAAGGAUUAAAAGCUGUAGUUACCUCCUUAAGGGACCUCCUAGGCCAUUGAGGGUACCUGGACCCAUGCCCAGCUCCAGGAGAGCAGAUCAGGGCUGGGAAGCACAACUGCAGGCUCCAGGCUUGGGUGCUGGAGGGAGAAGCCCGGGAGGAAAAGUCUGUUUGGAAGGGCUUCCUGAUGGAGGUACUUAAGGUAGAGCCAGGCUGGAAAGACCAAGAGAGAGGAAGAAGGUUCCUGGCCCCAUGAACUGCAUAGGUGGGGAGAGUUUGUGCCGGAGCUGGCAGCUAAGUGGGACAGGGUCAGGCCACAGGGGCCUGAGGUUGGAGGGUUCAUGUAGCUGGAUGUGGAAGCCCAUGGGCCCAGGAGUCUAGGGAGUUUGAUUUCUGCAGCUGCACACUUGUGAGCAAGAAGGACUGAUCUGGGAGGGAGCAGCCCUCUCCCUGGGUGGGGCUUUCUGUCCUCUGCUUUCCAUAUUCUGCAGCUGUUUUGGUUGCUCAAGCUUCUCUUAGUGUUCCCUGGAUGGUCACCCAGGAGGAGACUCGAGAGGAGGCAAGGAAGGAGAGAGAGGGUGCAGUGUGGCCUUGGGGAAUACUCUCCUCUGCCUGGAGAUCUGUUGGGAAUGUAUGAACACACAAUGAAUCCUGUUGCCAUGGAGCUUGGCUAACAAAUCCCUGAGGCUAAAGUGCCCUACAUUGGCUCUGGUCCAGCCCAUUGCCACCAUCCAGGGAUAGCAUGUGGCCUACAUCAGCCCAGUAAGAGUCAGCCUGGAACUCCAGCCUGAUGUAUGAGGAAAGAGGUGCUCCCUUGGGGGUCAUCCUUGUGUGGAGAUGGCCUGGCCAAGAAUGACACUAACGUGGAGGAAAAUGGAGCCAACAGAGGUGGAGAAAGACAUGUCCUGAUAACAUCACCGAGCCCCUCAUUUGGGUAGGCCGGAAGCCAAAUGUGCCCCUGAACUUCCCAAUUGUGAGAGCAAAUAAAUGAUCUUUUAUGCUUAA